rnacentral:rRNA from 1 species
AUUGAACGCUGGCGGAAUGCUUUACACAUGCAAGUCGAACGGCAGCACGGGGCAACCUGGUGGCGAGUGGCGAACGGGUGAGUAAUACAUCGGAACGUGCCCAAUCGUGGGGGAUAACGUAGCGAAAGUUACGCUAAUACCGCAUACGAUCUACGGAUGAAAGCGGGGGAUCGCAAGACCUCGCGCGAAUGGAGCGGCCGAUGUCAGAUUAGGUAGUUGGUGGGGUAAAGGCUCACCAAGCCGACGAUCUGUAGCUGGUCUGAGAGGACGACCAGCCACACUGGGACUGAGACACGGCCCAGACUCCUACGGGAGGCAGCAGUGGGGAAUUUUGGACAAUGGGCGCAAGCCUGAUCCAGCCAUUCCGCGUGCAGGAUGAAGGCCUC